AACACAAGGCUCAUUUCCCUCCCUCUCCCAAAAAGAAGGUAAUAGUAAUAUCUUCAAAUCUAUUCAUCAAAAUUAAUCUAGCCAAGCCGAACAUUUAGUGGAUGUUCUUGGUCGGCUCUUGGGAAGAUGAAUUCACACUUAUACGGGAGUCCAUGGGCUCUUAAGACGGUGAGACAAGGCUCGAUAUUUGGGGUUUUAAAAAUGAUAACGCAUUUGUUUUGAGUUCCCAAA
rnacentral:misc_RNA from 1 species